UGUAAUCCUCACUCCGCAGCGGAGGAGGCAGGCUCUGCCGAGCUGGGAGGCGUGAGACCGAGGGUCUCUAAAGGGCGGCUGGUCCUGGCGGGACUCAAGACUGGCGGUGGGGCUGGGAGGCGGCUGCAAUGAAGUCUGACACCGCCCAGCGUGCAGCCCACCCACUCUCAAGUUGUCUUCCUGGGGGGCUCCCUCCUUCUCCUUGUUGGCAUGGGAGGCAAGUAUCGAGAGCCACGUCUCGUGGUACAACCGCCCCCGGAAACAAGUGAGGCUUGUUUGCCUUUGGCUACCUGGGGCUGUUCUGGGAGGAGUCACACCCUAAAACCUGGCGUCCGAGGUGCAGGGUGGAAGCGCAGUCUCACCCUCACCUUGCCUAUUCCGGGCGCCUUGGGCCUCCACCACCCUUCCAGGCGCGAUCUCACAUCCCGGAAUUAGGCGCCCGCGCCCAGCUCUUCCAAGCAUUCACAGUGCUGUGGGGAGGGCACGGACAGGGUGGGUGAAAUUGAUGGGCUCAGGCGCUUUCCUAUCGCCGGAGCUUUGUCCACACCUCAAAAAGAAGAAAUGACACUUGUCUUUCUCCAAACAAACCAACUUAUGUAACACCCGCUACCCUGAACAAUUUAUAGCCAUUCGUUCCUGAUUUCUGCUUGUUUCUUUUUGUCUUCCCACCACUAAUUUCGUCUGAGUCUGGGAAACGCGCUGUUUAGACUCUCCGGGUCUCACGCAGGAUGCCUGGAUGCUGGUUGGAGCCACAGAGUUGGACCGAAAAUGUUUUGACUGGCGUCGUUGUGACAAGGUCAUCAGUCAUCCCUGGAUAGAUUGAUAGUACCCAAGUUGAAGGCAAACACCACGAGGGAAAACCCACGGUGCUGAGGACCCCGAGGCUAACCAGGCAGCCUCCGUAGGCUUUGAACAACUCCAUCCGGAGGGGAGGAUGAAGUUCCAGGCCCGUUUCAGUUAAUCUGCUCGAAGAACUGCCAAAGAGUGCCCGUCGGGCUACGGGAGAAUGGGCAAACUCUCGUUCUCACACUCUCCUGGUUCAUUGCUGAGAAUCGAGGAGUCUGCUCUGUUCUUUGCGAGAGACAGGGAGCACCGAGAAUGGAAGCCCCGACGCAGCAGUAGCGGCCCGGCGCCGGCCACUUACAAGCGCUGUGGGACUGGCUGUCCCAAAUAACUCCUCCCCUCACCGCCCCCAAACACACUUGAAAGCCUCGGGAUUUUGAGACACUAGUUGCAGCAACCGCUGCGGGGGCCUCAUGCCUCCCACACUCGGGGAAGCCAGGGGGUUCCCUUUGUAAUAAGAUUAGCUGAGCGGUUAGCGAGAGCUUUCGACAGGCCAGGCACGGGUAGGCGCUUCAAUUACAUUUAGUCCGCCCAGCAACCACUAGGAGAAAGCAUUGUCCUUAACCCCCAUAUUACAGAUGGGGGCACUGAGGCUCAGAAAGGUUAGGUAGGUUGCCUAAGGUCACGCGGUUAAUGAGUGAUGGAGACAGAUUCAACCUGGGGUCAGCGAGGCGCCAAGUGCAUUUUCCUGCCCACCUUGGUCAAUCCCCCACCCUUUCUCUCCGGAGUGACAGCAGGGGGGUGUGGGGGCACCUUGGGGGAGACCUGGCUUCCUCCUCGUGCUUCUGGGACCCAGGGGAGAAGCAGAGACUGUAGAGAGCCUCUCUCUCUCACUGUGACUGUGUGUGGUGUCUCGGACCUGCCAGAUUCGAGGGGCCCCCUCCCCAGAGGCCUAGGGCCUGCGCGGGUGGAGAAGCGAUAGGACUCUAGAGCCCAGAGGCCUUAGGGAACUCCCGUGAAGGAGGUGGGCGAAAGUUAGAGGGGGCGCUCAGGGGGCAGGGGAGUCCAGGAGCUCAGGAAAGGUCUCAAGGGGAGUGUAGCAGGAGUCCGAGCAUCCCCAGCAGGCCCACCAUGCCGGGCAGGGCCCCUGCUCCGACCGUGACCUCCAGGCGGGAAUUGGCUGGGCCAGAGGUCAGCGCAUCCCCUCCCCCGCCCCCUACAUCCCCCCUCGCCCCCCGCCAGGGGCGCACCACCGCGAGCUGCCCAGGCCAGACGGCCGGCUGCCCCAGGCGCUGCCUUCGUUGCGGAGGCUGCUGCCCGCUCCCCGAGCUGUUCCUGGGCCCGCUGGGCCAGGGCCACCCUGGCAAGUCUGGGGGGGGGGGGGUUUAGAAGGCGAGCUUACUGACCAUAAGACAUGAACCCCCGAAAUCCGCUCCCUUCCUCUUCAUUAUUUAGAGGAAGACCGCGGAAACAAAUCACUUCUACCACUUAAAGAAGCGAGGAAACCUUUAUAAGAAUCCAUCGCUCCCAAAUCGAUGGGUGAAUAUUUGCUGGGAAUUUGUUCCAGAGGAAUAAAUAAGGAGCGAAGGGAACAAAUGGUCGGUUGCCUUUGACAGGACUCCAAUAAAGGAUUCAGCAGCUCUCCUCUCUGCCCUCGGCACUCCUGCUUCUAGGUUUAAGGAUCGGGAAAGAGCCAGCUAACUGAGGACCUUGGAAUGCAGGCAAAAAGGGCAAAUCUCUGGAAAGAGACUACCCCAUCGCCGAGAAGUUCCCAAAGGAGGAGCUUUGCAACUUGCCAGACCUGGAAUCUAAAAGAAGCUCCACUCCCAAGGGAUCACCGCAGACAGCACCUGUUCACUACACUUGAAAUGCAGCCGAACCCUCCAGCUCCUUUCAGCCUGGUCACCCAACAGCUGUCACUCAAACAAUGCCUCUCAGCCACCCCAGGCCUGAUUUGGAUUUGAC